rnacentral:rRNA from 1 species
AACGAACGCUGGCGGCAGGCUUAACACAUGCAAGUCGAGCGCGCCCUUCGGGGUGAGCGGCGGACGGGUGAGUAACGCGUGGGAACGUGCCUUUCUCUAAGGAAUAGCCUCUGGAAACGGAGAGUAAUACCUUAUACGCCCUUCGGGGGAAAGAUUUAUCGGAGAGAGAUCGGCCCGCGUUAGAUUAGGUAGUUGGUGGGGUAAUGGCCUACCAAGCCUACGAUCUAUAGCUGGUUUUAGAGGAUGAUCAGCCACACUGGGACUGAGACACGGCCCAGACUCCUACGGGAGCAGCAGUGGGGAAUCUUAGACAAUGGGCGCAAGCCUGAUCUAGCCAUGCCGCGUGAGUGAUGAAGGCCCUAGGCCUAAAGCUCUUUCGCCUGGGA